AACGAACGCUGGCGGCAUGCCUAACACAUGCAAGUCGAACGAGACCUUCGGGUCUUGUGGCGCACGGGUGCGUAACGCGUGGGAACCUGCCCUUAGGUUCGGAAUAACUCCCCGAAAGGGGUGCUAAUACCGGAUAAUGUCUUCGGACCAAAGAUUUAUCGCCUCUGGAUGGGCCCGCGUUGGAUUAGCUAGUUGGUAGGGUAAAAGCCUACCAAGGCGACGAUCCAUAGCUGGUCUGAGAGGAUGAUCAGCCACACUGGGACUGAGACACGGCCCAGACUCCUACGGGAGGGAGCAGUGGGGAAUAUUGGACAAUGGGCGGAGGCCUGAUCCAGCAAUGCCGGGUGAGUGAUGAAGGCCGUAGGGUUGUAAAGCUCUUUUACCCGGGAUGAUAAUGACAGUACCGGGAGAAUAAGCUCCGGCUAACUCCGUG
rnacentral:rRNA from 1 species